UUAUAGCUCAGAUAAUUCAGUGGCCUUCAUAAUCAAUAAGGACUACGUCGGACAAAAAACGUUCGUUUUAUAUCCCGCUGGGCGAGUCCCGAUCCAUCACCUUCAUGCACUUUUCUUGCUAUACUGAUCCUAUGCGGAACUGGUGUAAUAUACAAUUAUCCAGUUGGCAAAGACAUUUAAUAAAGGGUUCGCCAGUAUUCCUGAUUUGACACAGCCAAGACUUUUUUCCCUUUUAUGACUGUAAUUUCUAAACGUGAAUAAUAACUGCUUCCCUAUCUUAAAAAAUAAAAUAAUAAAACUGGAUUAGUGACCUUGUAGAUAAAGAAACGCUAUAUUUUUCGGAGUGUAGGUGCGUGGAUAGCAAAUACAGGCCUUUGUGCGAGUAUGUGUCUUUUAUUUUACUAUUCAGCACGGAAAGAAAAUUCCUUUCUGUUUGUAAGUACAAGUUGUAGAACAGCAAAUUCGUUGCAUAUUUCACUAUAGAACUUGGAUUAGAAAAAACGCUUAGUUCAAUACAAUCGAUAUACAAUAGAUGUAGAGUUUAUAUCCAACAAAAGAAACAAAGUUCUUAAUAUUUCAGAGCACGUCGGGUCUCAGACACAGGGUAGGACCAUUCUUCGGGAAUCCCAAAAACUUGUAGACACUCCAGCCUCGUUGUGCAGUACUCCAUUCGGUGGACAAGGCAAAAUCGUGUGGGCAAAGUUUCUGUACCGGCCUCCUUACACCCCGGCCCCGCCUUUCCUCUCUACAUCAUGUGGGUGGAAUAUGAUUCUGUUUGACUCAGAGCCACUAAACAAGUAUAAUGGCUUUAGUAUUAGCGGCAAUUUUAAAUGGAAGGGUGGCAAGGGAUGGCUGGAUAUUUGGUGAAGAAGGUUAGUGAGAUCCACGUACAUGCUAACAUGGCUUUUCCCCGGGGUGUUUUUUGAUUCUUUACAGCACCUGCAAUAUAACUUUAAAACAUUUGGAAAAUCCAAGGAAAGGGUGAUGGCUCAUUGGAAGAGAAGAACAAAAUAGACCCAUCUAAACAUUUCCCUCAACAGCGACAACAGUUAGGCUUCCUGAAGGUAAGGUGGCAGCAAUUCAGGAGAGGGAGACCAUGAGGACUGCAUGCUUCUCAAGCUUUUGAUGGAAAAGUGCAGCCUUUUCACACUGGGGAUACUUUGUUCAUCUGCAACAGCAUUGAGAAGACAGGCACUGAUUUUCUUGAGCUGAAUACUGGAAAGUUUUUCACCCAUGAAUGAAAGAGGCGUGCACAAAGAUACUACACUGACCAGCUGUAACAUAAAAUUGCUGGUUUCUCAACUGAGUGGUGCACUAGAAAAACUUUUUUUUUCCUUUCCCGAGUUGUAAAUUAGAUUAUGAACUGAUCCUGUCUAUUUUUACUGCAAAGUGGGCCUCUUUUUUUGUCCACAUUUCUGGUCGUGAAAAACAGAUUCGUAACCACUUCACAAUGUCGGGAUUUACAUGGUGAUGUAUUUCAUUCAUUUUUUGUAUUGAAAAAAAAUAAAGAAAUUCAAGACUUUAGUCAAGUAUGUCUCAAAGAAAACCUAUACAAGCACAUGACAAGCACAUGACAAGCCAAAAGCUCUGGUCAGUAUAUUUGGAUGAAGUUCUCUUUUACAUUACUGUAUCUGUGCCUAUGUCUAAAACUGGAAGAUCCAUCAAUAGCUCUCCUAUUAAAGAAAUUGCAAAGGUAAUGUUUCCACAGCAAAAGUGAUAAUAACUCAGCUCACUACUUUUCCAAAAUACUUGAUGUCUCCUUCAGAUUUUCUAAUACAGUUUUUGAUAAAACAUUUUUAGAAUAUAAAUAUCUGCCUAAAUAUUAUUUCACUAAAUAUAUUGAUAUUAAACCAAGAUUUAUUGAACAUUUUAGAUUAAGAACCCCACCAUUUAAAUAAGAACUGCAGAAACCACUGUUGCAUUUCUCAAGAACAACUGAAUUGAAAUAAAGACAUGACUCAGCACUGGAAAUGGGCACUUUAUUACAAAAUCAGGUUGGAUUGAUCCACAGUAAUAUUCCUAAAAAUUAUAAUUCUUUCAUUUCAGCACUUUAAAAAAAUUCUUGAUGCAUGAAUUUGACCUUUGGGAUGUUAAGGUUCUGUUGGGAUAGUCUAUCUGACCUAUGCUGAAGGUUUUAAGAAAGUUAUGGAUUUUUGAUUUGCCACAACAGAACUUUGAUUGAAAACAACUUUUGUGCUAAUAACAAUAGGAAAUCCUCUGAAGCAAUGAAAUAAGCUAAAGAAGUGCAUUUUCGUUACUUCUUACUAAAAUGUAUUACAAUGCCCUGAUAGAUAGUAUUAUUUGAUAAAUGCAUGUCAAAACUUUCCACAUUGAAAUUCUAUUUCUUAAAGUGAAGUGAAGAAUAUUAUUGUGUGUCUAGGUAAAAAAUGUAAAAAAUAGUAAACCAUAAACUAAAAAUGGUAAAUUGUAUAGAUGACCCAGUUAGUAUAGCAACUGCUCUUGAGAUUUUUAUUUGAGCAGAAAUUACCUCUAACUUAAAUCAUAGGGCUCAAUAUAACCAACAGGACAAAUUGUUAUUUUUAUAGGUGAAAUAACUAUGCUGGUGCAGUCACCCUGCUAAGCCCAUUCUCACUUUAUUUCAUUUAUUAAAUCUUGCCUAAAAUAGCCAUAUCUGUCUAAAGGCAAAUCACGGUCAGCAGGAAGCAAAUGUGUUCAAGGUGGAAAAACUGUGACAGAGAGGUCGCAGGUUAAUGUGCUAGCAGUGGACCGAUUUUAUGAAAACUCUGGAAUAAAACUCUUUACUGUAUGUAAAUGGAACUUUGGUAAUUAGCAAUGUAAGCUUAAAGAAAGCAUCACAUGCUACGUAAAAUUAUGAACCAUCUACUUUUACCAUUUUAUUGUUUUAUUUUCCAUGAGGAACCAAGAGGAAGGACAACUUUGCCCUCAAGAACUCUUGUGUGUAUCAAAAAGGCAAGCUCCUAAAACCAGCCGGCUGACACUGUAUAUAGUUCAUUCUGUCAAUUUAUUAAAAAAAAUGGGAUUCACAAACCUCCUUGUUUGCACUCUCAGCACAGAAUGAACAACAAAGCCACGGGUGCAGCCUCAGUGAGCUGAGAUACAGAACAUUGAAAAUGCAUGUGCUUCGGCCUUGUGAUAGACUUGGAGAGGGAGCGCUGGCUGGGGCACAUCCUUGGCUCUCCUCUAUUAGCAGUGUCACAUCUCACUGUUUAACCCCCUCGCUUGGGAGACCCUUUUAUUUUCCUGGAGAGCCCUGCAGCUCCGUGGUUUAAACAAGUGAAAUUCUUUCUGCCUUUCAAUUAAUAUGCUCCCUGCAGCACUGAACCCAGACUAUUUCAGGGUUAGGCUACAGUGAACAGUGAGAUUUUUCCAGCAGGGCAGCUUCUAUCUAUUCAUUUGUUUUCUUAUAUAUAUUUUUGUUACAUAU